GGAAGUAAAAGUCGUAACAGGGUUUCCGUAGGUGAACCUGCGGAAGGAUCAUUCAUAAUAAGUGUUUUAUGGCACUUUUUUAAAUCCAUAUCCACCUUGUGUGCAAUGUCAGGGUUGGUCUCUUUUAAUCAGCCCCAAACAUCAACUAUUAUCUCAACUCUUUGUCUGAAAAAUAUUAUGAACAAAACAAUUCAAAAUACAACUUUCAACAACGGAUCUCUUGGCUCUC
rnacentral:misc_RNA from 1 species